GGUUGUCGUCAGCUCGUGCCGUGAGGUGUCGGGUUAAGUCCCAUAACGAGCGCAACCCUUAUCGUUAGUUGCCAGCGGGUAAUGCCGGGAACUCUAACGAAACUGCCGGUGUAAACCGUGAGGAAGGUGGGGAUGACGUCAAAUCAGCACGGCCCUUAUGUCCAGGGCUACACACGUGUUACAAUGGCCGGUACAGGGGGCAGCUACCUGGAGACAGGAUGCGAAUCUCCAAAGCCGGUCUCAGUUCGGAUCGGAGUCUGCAACUCGACUCCGUGAAGCUGGAUUCGCUAGUAAUCGCGCAUCAGCCAUGGCGCGGUGAAUACGUUCCCGGGCCUU
rnacentral:rRNA from 1 species